rnacentral:rRNA from 1 species
GACGAACGCUGGCGGCGUGCUUAACACAUGCAAGUCGAACGGAAAGGCCCUGCUUUUGUGGGGUGCUCGAGUGGCGAACGGGUGAGUAACACGUGAGUAACCUGCCCUGGACUUUGGUAUAACUUAAGGAAACUGGGGUUAAUACCAGAUAGGAUCUCCUGCUGCAGUGUGAGGGUGGGAAAGUUUCGGCGGUUGGGGAUGGACGCGCGGCUUAUGAGCUUGUUGGUGGGGUAGUGGCUUACCAAGGCUUUGAAGGGUAGCCGGCCUGAGAGGGUGACCGGCCACAUUGGGACUGAGAUACGGCGCAGCAUCCUACGGGAGGCAACAGUGGGGAAUAUUGCACAACGGGCGGAAGCCUGAUGCAGCAGCGCCGCGUGCGGGAUGACGGCCUUCGGGUUGUGAACCGCUUUCGCCUGUGACGAAGCGUGAGUGACGGUAACGGGUAAAGAAGCACCGGCUAACUACGUG